GCCCCGUUAGCUCAGCGAACAGAGCAGCGAGCUUCUACCUCGUGGGUCGGGAGUUUGAAUCUCUCACGGGGCA
rnacentral:tRNA from 1 species